UCUCCGUUGGUGAACCAGCGGAGGGAUCAUUACAGAGUUGCAAAACUCCCAAACCAUUGUGAACGUUACCUAUCCCGUUGCUUCGGCGGGCGGCCCGGGCCCCGCGCCCGGCGCCCCCCGGCCCCCCGUGGGCGCCCGCCGGAGAUAAACCAAACCCUUGAAUUGCAUGGCCUCUCUGAGUCUUCUGUACUGAAGAAGUCAAAACUUUCAACAACGGAUCUCUUGGUUCUG
rnacentral:misc_RNA from 1 species